UUCAGGGUGUCACAUUUUAUCAUCAACACAGAUUCCUGAGCUCGCAUUAAUUUCGUGACGCAUUUUAGUAUAGACCCUAGCAAUCGCAUUAAAUUUGUGACGCAGUAAUUUCAUGAUUUACAGAAUGUGAAUAUU